GUAGGUGGCAAGCGUUGUCCGGAAUUAUUGGGCGUAAAGCGCGCGCAGGCGGGUCCUUUAAGUCUGAUGUGAAAGCCCACGGGCUCAACCGUGGAGGGUCAUUGGAAACUGGGGGACUUGAGUACAGAAGAGGAAAGCGGAAUUCCAAGUGUAGCGGUGAAAUGCGUAGAGAUUUGGAGGAACACCAGUGGCGAAGGCGGCUUUCUGGUCUGUAACUGACGCUGAGGCGCGAAAGCGUGGGGAGCAAACAGGAUUAGAUACCCUGGUAGUCCACGCCGUAAACGAUGAGUGCUAAGUGUUAGGGGGUUUCCGCCCCUUAGUGCUGCAGCUAACGCAUUGAGCACUCCGCCUGGGGAGUACGGCCGCAAGGCUG
rnacentral:rRNA from 1 species